AACGAACGCUGGCGGCAGGCCUAACACAUGCAAGUCGAACGCCCUAGCAAUAGGGAGUGGCAGACGGGUGAGUAACGCGUGGGAACCUUCCUAGUGGUACGGAACAACUCAGGGAAACUUGAGCUAAUACCGUAUACGCCCCUCGGGGGAAAGAUUUAUCGCCAUUAGAUGGGCCCGCGUCGGAUUAGCUAGUUGGUGAGGUAACGGCUCACCAAGGCGACGAUCCGUAGCUGGUCUUAGAGGAUGAUCAGCCACACUGGGACUGAGACACGGCCCAGACUCCUACGGGAGGCAGCAGUGGGGAAUAUUGGACAAUGGGCGCAAGCCUGAUCCAGCCAUGCCGCGUGAGUGACGAAGGCCUUAGGGUUGUAAAGCUCUUUUGGCGGGGACGAUAAUGACGGUACCCGCAGAAUAAGCCCCGGCUAACUUCGUG
rnacentral:rRNA from 1 species